GAAGCCGUCCGCGGCCCCCACCCCUCCCGCCUGGCUCGGGCGCCAGGAGAAGCGGACAUUUUAGCCUCCUCUGCAAUCCGCUCUCUCGUUCGUGUCCUUCUCCCCCCUCUCGUCCGGUAGGGCCGGCAGUGUAGAUUUCCCCAGGGGCGGGGGUGGGAUCUGAGCAAUCACUCGCCCUCCCCCCUCCCAGGGGCGGGGAGGGGGUGAUUUAGGGAGGACUCCACGGGGCCCAAAGGUUCGCACCGCCCCGCCGCGGCCCAGCCUGCAGAAGCCCCCCGCUGCCGCGGCGCCCCCGCUCCCCGCCCCGCGAGGCGCGCGCAGCUGCGCCCGGGCCUGUCCUCGCUUCACCCCCACUCUGCCCCUUCGGUAUUUCUCAAUGACCGGCGCUCCGAGGACACUUCCGACGCGGAGGGAGGGGGUGUCAUUAGCGCUCGGUUAUCAGUUCCUUCCGGUCUCCCCGAGCUCAACCCUGCGCGCGGCCGGGCCGCGCCUCGGGCGAUCUGGUGCCUUUAUUAUGAUGUUUAAGUAAGCAGUCGUGUGUGCCAAGUGAGUUUGUAGCCCAGCUGUCUCCCCCAAGCCCCGCUGGCAGGAAUGGAAACCCAAGCUCUCUCGUAAUGCAGGGGAUGAUGCAAACUUAGAAACUGACCCGGCGCCCGGGAAUGAGGCCCCCCCGCCCCGGGCGUGCGGCGGCCCAGUCGGGGCAUGAAUGGCUGGAGCCCGAUUGCAUAAUCCGCGCGGUAUAAAUAGCCGGCGGGCGGGCCGCUGACGCGCUCGGUUGUGCCGUUAUCGUGCAAUGCUUCAUCCCCGGUGCCGUUCAAUCCCAGGUCGUUUUCCCUUUCAGCUGCAAUGCCGGGAUUUUAAAUAGCAGAGAUGAAAGGCCCCUGCCCCCGCCUCCCUCCUCCCCUGAGUUCAUGUAUUAUGAAUGAAACGGCAGCCUCGCUGCUUCCUGAGGUGCUCCACUUCAGGCUGGGGUGCAAUGGCUCGAUCUCGGCUCAGUGCAACCUCUGCUUCCCGGGUUCAAGUGAUUCUCCUGCGUCAGCCUCCCAAGCAGCUGUGAAUACAGGUUGGAGUGCAGUGGUGCUGUGUCUGGAGUUUGUUCCUGCCGUUGGGUUUGUGGUCUUGCUGACUUCAAGAAUGAAGCCACGGACCUUCACGAGAAAUAUUACGUUGUAUGGAUGUACCACUGUUUGUUUAUCCAUUCUUCAGGUGAAGGACAUGUGGGUUGUGCCCAGCGCGGGCUGAAUAAAGAUACACACACAGGCACAUUGGAAACGCAGUAGAAAAUGGCUGCCAAUUUAAAACCAGAAGUUAAGAAGAGCAAACUCGAAUGUACAGCAAGAGAGCUUCAGGCUGGACUGGCUUCCAGCAGAAGUGGGACUGGAAACCUCGGAUUCUAUUGUCUCUUCUCUGUGAAGUGGGAAAACAUGUCAGUAUCUGAACUUGAGCUUGGUAAUUACUGCUCAUUUCUCAACCUUUUCCAAGCCACGUAACUCCCCUAAGGCUUAGUUUUCUUAUCUGUGAAUUGCGAGAUGGUAUGUUCUUCAUCACGAGGUUGCUAUAAAGACUGAAUGAGAUAAUGUGUGUGGAAGCACCAAGCAUGGUCCUUGGCAUGCAGUAGAUGCUCAAUAAAUAUGAACUGGAGUACACAUGCACUCUGCUCCCUCCUGCCCCCUCAUAGUGCCUGGUCUGGCUCUGGGCUCCCUGGGAUAUGGCAGGUUACCAAAGCAGGCACUAAGGCAUGUCUACCCUUGGUACCUUAUUACCUAGGUUUCCUGUGCCACCUGCUUCAUUCUAAUCGCAGAUUUCAGGCUCCAUUCAAACAGAACCUCACUUCUGCUAGCUGUCAUGCUCAAAAAGGGACUGAUGACCACUGAAGCAGGCUAUGAUAGUGAUUUAUGAAUGUCAUUCCUCCAGACAGCAUUUGGAUUAUUACUGGUUUUGCUUUUAUUUUAUUUGGCG
rnacentral:lncRNA from 1 species